UACGGGGGGGGCAAGCGUUGUUCGGAAUUACUGGGCGUAAAGGGCUCGUAGGUGGCCAACUAAGUCAGACGUGAAAUCCCUCGGCUUAACCGGGGAACUGCGUCUGAUACUGGAUGGCUUGAGUUUGGGAGAGGGACGCAGAAUUCCAGGUGUAGCGGUGAAAUGCGUAGAUAUCUGGAGGAAUACCGGUGGCGAAGGCGGCAUCCUGGACCGACAUUGACGCUGAUGAGCGAAAGCUAGGGGAGCAAACGGG
rnacentral:rRNA from 1 species